UCCCUCGCAAACGCAAGACGAAAGCAAAGAGAGGAAAGGAAGUCGCCUCCUCAUGCGCUCUUCCCUCCCGCUCCCUCUCUUUCAUCGUCGUAGGGGUCAUCGCGCAUCGAUGAGGCCGAGGAGGGCAGUAAGCAGAGGGUGGGACGAGCACGCGGUGUCGGAGAAGGUUGGCUGCCUCGCCGUGACGAAGGAGAUGAGGUUCAGGCUCUACAUCCUGCGGAGAUGCGUGGUGAUGCUUCUCUGCUGGCGCAAGUAUGGCAAGUCUUGAUGACGCAGAACGACGUAGGAUAGGAAAGAUCACGGCGACACGGCAUAUUUCCUUAUCGCAUCAGACGUCUGUCUCUCUCUUGAUCUGGCUGUAUUAUUUAGGCUAAGGGGAAGGAAACUAAUGUCUUGCAUGUGCUUCAUGGUCCAAUCUUAUUUGGUUUCUGCCCCCCUUUUCAUAAGCAUUUUUUGUAUAGACUGAUUACUGCAAGCAUGAACAGCUUUUCUUGUCAUGUUCUUUCAAGUACUUGUGCUACAAGUUGGAACUCUUAUAAUUGUAUGGAAAUUUGAAACCUCAUGUACUAUGUACAGCCAAUUGAGUUUUUAUCCUGAGAUUAAAGUUGCUCCAUGCACCACCAAAGAUGGGAGUGCAUGAGAAUGGUAAAGACGAACAAAACCAUCUUAUUAGCAAUUUGCCCAUCAUAUUAAAGGGGAUGGAAUAAGUUGGUGAUUGGGAGUGCUCUUCUUUCUGGUUCUUAAAAUACUGUGACUGUGGACUGCGCUUGCUGUCCAAAAAGAUAAAGGAGUUCGCAUUUUCUUGUUGGGUGGAAACAGCCCGCGUAUCUUUGCUCAUAUAAAGAUAGAUAUGGUUCCCAUGGCAACUUAGCUUUUAGAUUCUGUCUCUGAUAUAUAUGUAGUUCGGAUGAGCUAGAACCCCACAACCAUGAAAUCAAUCAAAUAACACCAAAAAGUAUAAUCCAUUAGGGAUAAGUCAGAAAAGAGAAACUAUUAGAACAAAUAAAACUAGUACAAACAAUAGCUUCUCCACUUAUCUUGCACUAAAGGAUCAUAUGGAGCAGGCAACUUGAAAUAGAUUCUGGACUAGAAAAAUAGGGUAAGCUUGGAUAUGAGACUAACUAGCUACGUUUUAUGUAAUAUAAAACAUGAGCUUCACUCGAUCAUUGCAGAACAAUACGUUCAAAUAACCUUGGAGAAUUACUUGCAUUAAUAAAUAAGCUAAGAUGCUCAGCAUAUGUUUUAUUUCAUGUGACGAUGAUCUGGAAUGCAUUUUGGGAAGUCCUCGUUUCACCGAGAGAAACCUUGUUGAUUCUGUGAGAGGGAUCCAUCGAAAUGUGUGAGUUCAUAUCACAGCUUCAGAUAUGACCUAUUUUUGACCCCAAAAGAAAGUCAUCUAUUUCUCAGAUUAAGUUUUGUGCAGAGGAGUGUGGGACAGAAUUGAAUUGGUGGCAGUGCAUAAGUCAACGAUUUCAACAGUGAACAAAUAUUUUGUUGCAAGUUUCUUUUGACUGCACAUCUCCAACUGAAGAUUUGCACCGGUGUACUACGAAACAAAAGGCCGAUGAUUCCACCUGCAUCAACAAGUGCAAGCAUGCAGCAUAGAAUUAUUGAUGCUUGACCUCUUGUGGAGCCUUCUUUCAGCUUGACGUGCACUCUGAAGUCGAACAAAAUAGAAUAUUCAACAGAUGAGCUGGAAAGUGGAGAUAAUUAUUGUAAGGUAUCGGAUCCUGAAUCAAUUUCCAUGAACACAUCUGUUUCUUAGUUUGGAAAGAUGAGACCUGUGAUGUCUCUGAAGUCAAGGUCGGUGAACCCACAAAUCCUAAGUAUAGUAUGUCUCAGCAGGCAUAGAAUUCUGUAGUUAUAUCUGAUGCGACAAUGGAGAGGGAGAGUGGUGAGAGGGAGGGUAGACUUCAAUGGCGGUUGCGUGAUGAGACGGUAGCGCAUUUAUGUAGAAAGAUGCCUGCUAUUAUAUCGUUGCUCAGACAAAGAUUCCUUCAUUUACUGCUCUUUGUGGAGUCAUGCCCUCAUUUACUCCGCACCCUCGUUUCAUACGUCAAACACUUGCAAAGAACAGAAAUCUCAUCGACUUUCACGUCAUCGCAAUCUCUCAUUGCCAAAGAAAACACUGUACCUAACCAUUUGACGAGGCUAGGUUGACGGUGAGUGAACCAUCGGCUCUGACAUGUGACGUUAUUGCAGAAUCAACAGAGAAGACAACCUGAAGGUUGCAGUUCAUGCAUGGUGCAUGGUGUGUAGAUAGCCUCUGCUACAUGUAAGACAGAUGAUUAAUGAGAACAAGCAAGUGUCAUUCUGAAUCAAUUCAUUAAACUCUCGGUUAUGUACACAUACGUGUUCAUAACCGUAGCUCUCUCUCUCUCUCUCUCUACGUUCGCUGGUCAUUUAUAUCUCGGUGAGAGAAAGAGGAAGGAGAGAAUAUUUCGAGGAGGUAGUUGACAAUUAAUGCUGCAGACUGUCUCUCUCCUUUGGCAGUCGGGCGUUUUAAAUCCUUUUGCCACCGCCAUCGACCUCCUUAAAUUCCACCACAUUUCCUUCCUCUCCUACGCACCUCGCUUUCCCCUCUUCAUCUUCUCUUCCUCCUUACUUGAAAGGAGAAUGCAGCCUCUCUCUCUCUCUCGCUAACAGAGUUUGGAAGAAAGGAGAAGAAUCAACCAUGAAACAGUCACUAUGAUGUUGGCCCGGCUCGAUCAGAAAGCACCACCAUGCACGGCUAAGCAAAAGACGACAUCCACUGCAUUCUGAUUGAGCCGCGCCAAUAUCUUAGUAACUUUUCGUUCUUAAACCUGUUGCAGAAUCAGUAUUCAGCCUGCAUGCAACUCUUCCAUUCAGGUACUUGUAUAUAUUAACUCCUUGUUCUUGUUAUCUGACAUACAAGGCAUACAUUUCUUCUGUUGCAUGCCAUAAAGAUACAUCACCAUGCAUAUAUACGCACAAAGGAAGAUCAAAACAAGCCUGAUAUAUGUGAUGGAGAUGGCAUCUUCAUGUGCGUAGAUGCCGGGCAAAGAUUGUUCUUUGCUUUUAAUUUUCGUUCGAUGCACUUAUGACAAUCUCAUGUCAUAAAUCCAGUGACUAUAUCUCAUCACUCGAAGUCUCUGCCGAAAUAGCAAGCACACAUAUUGCAUGCAUGCGUUGGGUUGGGUUUGUAGUAUUGAUCUGAUUGUGGAGUCUGGUAAAAUAUCCAAGAAGACAUGCUAGUUUUCAGAAGAAAAGGGGAAGAGACUCCUCCAGUGAGAUAUCAGAUCCAAGGAGUAAGCUUUUGUAUUUUCUAUCCUUUAGGUUGUGUUUUAUUUCUUUUUUUAUUUUUCGAAAUAAAUGCGGAAUGUCACUUCCUUUUCAUUAUAAAAAAUGUAAAAUAAAUAAAGAAAUAAAGCAUUAGGCAAGUAGGGUGGUGGACACGAGGCUCUUACGAGGAGUGCAAUGGCAAAUGGCUCGCCAGAAUGGUUGAUGUACGUUUCUUGCUUAUCUGUUUUCUUUGUCCGGAGAACAUUAGGGCAGAAGAGAUGAAUAACGUACGUAACGUAAGCUCUAUCGUGCGUUGAAGAGUUGGUUUCGGUGCGCUCGAGGUUUGCUUAAACACAAUGGGUUGUUCUUGUUCUUAUCAGUAUGAGAUUGAAGACUUGCCCCCCUGUUCUUAUGUUGCACAGACGGUGAUAUAAGGCUUGCUUGCUUCAACAUCUGCAUUAAUGUCUUAAACCAACUUUGGCUGACACAGUUGUUCUAUUCUGUACACAAACUUUCCGAGUUCCUUGCGGUCUGGGGAAAGGAUAUAUAUUCGUCUCGUAUUUGCUUGCUAUUGUUGCAAGAUGAACACCUUUUUCUUCUUCCCCUUUGUUCCGUGUCAUUUCCUGCCAUUCGUUCCUCGAUUUAGUCGUCACAAGUUCUAUUACUGCGUCCUGCUUGAAACCGAGGAAGAGCAGCAUUUCAGAGAAAGGGACCUCGGUGGUGUCAGAUUGGGCUGAUGACCUUUCUGAUAGAGCUGCCCAUUCUUUCCUUCACAUUUACUUUCCAUUUCGACUGUUGACUCUCACAUGUCAUUUUGUAGAUUUUAUCCUCUGUAAUUAAAGCUUUCUUCUUUCUUGAAAUGAAAGAAUGCACAUUGCUACGUGCUCAUGGAAGUGGACAUGAAUCGCUAAACCUCCUUGGAAUUCUUGGCACAGCUACUUCAGUACCUUGUUAUUACUAUUUGAUUGAGAAGGGAGGGGUUGUUCUCUCUCUCCCUUUCUUUACGGUCACCACAGUUGCUCCGUGCACUGCCGAAUUCAACAUAUACUCGUACCGAAUGAUGCUUGUUCUGAGUGCAGAUUCGAGAGACAUUUGGUGACACUUGGCGAGGAAGGACACGGAUCAAGGUAACAAUGACCUUCUAGGCUCGGGUACCCGAGAGAGUGACUGCAGAUGAAGGCUUAGAACUUCGACCCGCCCGGCACGGCGCUCAUCUUCAAUCUGGCGUUCGCGUCGCUGCUGGACCUCGAGCAGGACGAGGAGAUGAUCGCGCGGAGUAAGAAGACGCUGAGCAACGUGUUAAGCUUUUUCUACAUGGACAGGAUAAGCUUUUUCUCGCUAAAUGAUAUUGGCCAAAUUGCAGUCACGUAAUUUAUGAAGGCGUAUGCAAAAUGACUGAUGGUGGGAUAAAGAUUCAAUUAGCUAACGAAAGUAAAGGAAGAAGAUUACUUGUUUAGGGCAAAACAUAGAUAUCAAAGAAAAACAAAUGAUCUUCCAUUUCUCAUAUCGCUAGUUGACAUUAUCUUAGCAUAUAUGAAACCCAAACAACUUUAGCCGACAAGACUCAAAACAGCUUAGAUCCUAAUUUUGUAUGUACCCUAAUAAGAUAUAUACUAUAGAGAAAAAUAUUACAAUGACAAACACAUUGGUAAAAAUGUCAUUAUUCACUAUCAAAAGAUACAUAAAAAAUAAAAAAUGAUUUUAUUAAGUAUAAAAUAAUAUCCCAAAUGGACUCAAUGAUCAUACACAAAGGACAUCAAAGAUAAGUGUAGACUCAAUUAUCACUUAACAAUUUUAUUGACCAAAAAUAAAAUAAAUAAAUUCACUCACAUUUUAGGAUAUUGUCGGCCUCAUUUAUCUUGUAAAGUACGAGAUUUUUGUAAAUAUUUUGAUCAUUUUUUAAUCUGCACAAUGAUAACUCAACAUGGUAUAAAAUUUAAAAUAUAUUAUUGUUAAGGAUAUUAUAUAUCCUCUUCUACAUUUAAGAUGUAGAGCGACAUCGCACAAUAUUUGUAUCGUAUAUUUACAUCGGUGUCGAUGUAAAUAUUGAGUGGUCUUUAUCUUUUAGCAUCAUUCUUUUCAUCCAUAACACUCGUCAGUGAUGUUGUCAUCCAUCACUAUCGAUAUCGUCUAUCACCACCGAUUAUAGCAUUAAGAUUAUAUUAUAUUUUUAUAUAUUUAUUAGUAGAAUCGAUAAUAUUAAAAUAAAUACAUCUAGAUAUUUCAUCUUAUAAUUAUAAAAAAUAUUAAUAUAAUUUUUUAAAAUAUAAAGAUCGAGAUAUUAAGGUAACUAACUAAAAAUCCCUAUCUUAUUUUUAUUGUCGUAGCCUAGUGGAUCUAACGAGUCAUAUCACGAUGCUGGUCCAAAGUGCAAGCCUCGGACCCCUCACCAUCCCAUUUGACGCGGUCUAAGUGGUGAGAUGAGGCAGCGCUCGGUAAAUCAAUAUUAUCUCCUCCCUCCGUCGGCGGCCUUCUUCGUCUUAAAAUAGUUUCCUGUAGAGGUUGGAUCCAAUCGAGAGUCUCAACAGUAUGACACGCUGCACUACUCCCCAUCGCGAGACCCAAAAUUCCAUCCAGCUUUCCACCCGAGAAAUCAACACCGUCACGCCCUCAGAUGGAGGGGAUCACAUGUGGAUAGAAGCGACAGAUCUGUCUCCAACACUGUACAUUACAUCUCUCCCUCCCUCCCGACAACACCUCCGACGUCGACCGUGAGGCGCCGGACUUUGGAUUCCUCACCACCCUCCAAACGAACAUCUGUGCGUGCCCUGCGGGCAAUGGCUGGGCGAAUCUCCCCCCAUUCACAAGCCUCUCUUGGCUUUUUCUUUUUAUCUUCGCAAUUAUUGACCUGCAAACUUAUCGCCAUCGAUGAGAAUUGAAGAGCCCAACUGCAAUGAGUUUCUCUUCCUUUUCACGCAACGAGAGCACCCAAAUCGUACUAAAUUUACGAGUCUGAAGUUAGCCGACGCACCUUCUCGUACAGUAUUUUCCCACACUCGACAACUUGCAUACAUCAAUCUUCAACAUCAAGUUAUAUUUUGUCGCGAAGCUGACAUUAUUGGCUUUAUUUCCUGACAAAAAGCCGGCACACAGCACUCUGACGUAUAUUGUGGUCCAUCUUCUAUAUCUAUGGGAAGAACCCAAGAAAAAAAAGAAGAGCUCUCAAUACCUUGAUGCUCUCGUAUUUAGUCAGACAUUAACUUUAGUUUCUGAGUUGGAAGACUUAUAAAAACAUUAUAUAGUUUUUGAUCGCUAUAAAGUGUUGGAAUCAAAACUUGUAGUCAUGGAAAACAUGUCACCAAUAAGGUAAGGGAAGCUGGAUUAUCCUAUUAAAAUAUCUUCAUAUCGAGGACCCAAUCCUAAUCUGACAUUUACGUGAUUUGGAAGCGGAUAACUUCAACAAAAACGUGAGGGGGCAGUCACGACAGAGAGAUGAAGAUUCGGAGAGGAAAGGAAACGGACCCAAAGGUCACACACACCCAUGGGGUCCACUAUUCGUAGGCAUCCAAAGCUAGCAUUUUACCACCGUCACGUGUCCGGGACUGAUGGAGCCCACUGCUGGGUCCAUCGCGUCAUGCAAUUGCAAGGCAGGUUCUCAGAACCAUUUAUGUGGCUUUGCCCGUUGCGUACCUCACCGCGCCGACCCAGACAUGGGAACCAACGGACCACGUGAGCCUCCACGUGACGACCCGCCCGUGUCACGUCAGUCCUACCUCACGCUCCGCUACAAUACGGUAUAUUCCGUUAGAAAAUUCUUCUUCCUAAUCAGGUUCUCGUCCCCCUCAUCUCACCCCGCCUCUCCUCCUAUAUAACAACCCCCCCGUUUCUUCCCUCCCUCCCCUCAGCAAGAAUCGGGACAGCGUCCUACCUUGCAUAUUUGUUUCACGAAUUCUACCAAAUACAUGAUGAGCGUCGAUCGCGCCGAGAGGCUGCUGGAAGAGGCAUUCAAGAUCCAGGGCCGGGACAAGAAGGGACGCAAGAUCCUCCGCAUCGUCGGCAAGUUCUUUCCCGGUACGAAGGGUUGAUCCGCAUCCUUUUGUUCGUCUUGUUUGAGUCUUUCGAUCUGUCUCUGAUUCCGGAUUCGUCUGCGACAGCGAGGGAAUUGAUGGGCGCGGGACAGGGUGGAGGCGGCGAGGAGGCGCUGCAGGGUUUUCUGGAGAGGAGGGUGUUCCCGGAGAUCGGCGGGGCGCCGUUCGUGGUGGUGUACAUGCACUCCCUCGUGCAGCGGUCCGAAAACUUCCCCGGCGUGGCGGCGCUGCGGUCGGCCUACGAGGCGCUCCCUGCCGCCGUCCGCGACGGGCUGCGCGCCGUCUACUUCGUGCACCCGGGCUUGCAGGCCCGCCUGUUCUUCGCCACCUUCGGUCGCUUCCUCUUCAGUGCCGGGUGAGUCACGCCUACCUUGCCGUUAACGUUGCGCCGGGAUCGUGUUCCGCUCCUCCUGGCGCACCGAGUCGUUCCUUCCACGGCGGAAAACGGUUUUCGAUCAGUUCCAACCCAACGGAAUUGUCGUUAACGGGAUAAGGGCUCGUUCUAUUAAUUAACGAAUAAUUAGGGGUUUAAUUGAAAUGCUUAAUUCUAUCUACCGAGAAAAAAUGGCCGCAUGACCAAAUUUUAUCUCUAUUGUUGGAGCUAUUAAAUUGAGAUUUCUCCCUCCUUUAUCACAUCCUCUCACUGUGGCGAUACAGGUUGUACCGGAAGCUGCGGUACGUGAGCCGCCUGGAGUUCCUUUGGGAGCACAUGAGGAGAGGGGAGGUGGAGGUGCCGGAGUUCGUUGAGGACCACGACGAGGAGCUGGAGCACCGCCCCCUCAUGGACUACGGCCUAGUGGAGAGCGACCACCACCACCGUGCCUUCGACGACCCCGCCAUAGACUCCGCCGCCUCCAUGCACUCGCUCCGCUGCAUCUCCUAGCCCUGUGGGAGGACCAUUAUGCUCCCCCUGUUUUCUUACUUGUAUUUGUUACUUCGGAUUGCGAAAGGCCGUAACUGUAAAUACAUAUACAUAUAAGAGUAGCUUUUAAAUCUAAAAGCGGUUGCGUCGGUUUGGAUCAAUCGAUGAUCGAUUGGAUGGAGGAGCAAUGUCCUAUUAUACAUAAUUCCAACCUAACCAACGUAAUCAGUUGGAGUUUGAUGUUAGGACGGUCUUUUGAAGCCAUACUAAAACAAUCUCAGGAUGUUGAUAAGGAUUAAGUGUUUUAUUAUAGGGCGUACAUUAAGGGAUUCCGAUAAGGAUGAGUCGUGGCUUCCAAAACAUAGCAUGACACACAUCGCACAUCCUUGGCUCGUAUAGACGCGUUCCACGUAUACAGUACGCUUGUGCGGGUCACUCGGUUGCAUUAUUGGACAUGGAGCCACCCAAGGACGGACAACGUGGGGGCCAAAUAAUAACUUGGAAGUCCAGAUCAGUGCAGACAUGAUAACGAGACCUGCCCACAGUUUGAUGCGGAUAGGGCGGUAGACUCGGCUCUCCUCUCCAAUCUUUUCCAACCAUAUGGAGACUGGAAAUAUUUAAGAUUGUGAUGCCGAAUCGUCGUUGUCAAAGUAAUAAUACUUAUAACCACUAUAGCUUUAACGUUAAAAUAAUGCAAUAUGCUUCGAUUCGAUGGGUACUAAGCGGUUUCAGCUGUGCUGAAGGAACUGUUUAACGAUAAGUAAUGUUUUUUAUCAGUGCCCGAUCUGGUGCUCAUUCUAUACUCGUUCACGUAUAGUAAUUGUUCGAUUGCUUAGAGAAGAAACGAGAUCAAUUUUUUUUUUUUUCGAAUAUAAGAGAAGGCAAAGCUAUUUUCUUUCUGAAAAUAUGAUUUUUUUUGUUUUUCAAAAAGAACAAAAGACUAAUUUCUUAAAUAUUUGAAACAUUUUCUAAUGGUUUUCUCAUUUUUCGAGGAACAUAAUUCAUGGUGAAAUUUUGAGGAGUUUGCUCUUCAAUGUGGAAUUAAUGCACCAGCAAUUGUUCCAAGCAACGACACUGUUCAAUUUCACUCUUUUGCUUAAUGCAACGGAUCCUUCAAAACUUCAAACUUAAAUGUGGUUAUGCUGGGAUGGAUGAUAAGGAUAAGACGAAUGCUGAUUCGGUUUGCAUAAAACAAUAGCAUGAAGCUGAAGUAUUGCGGACAGUAACAGCAGCCCACAACGAUGACAACAUCCAAACUGGAGCAUAACGAGUUCGAGUCCAAGGUCUUCUAAGCCUUCGAUAAGCUAUUUGUAAGCUUUCGUGUCGUCCGCAUGCGCUUAAGAGCAGUGACCGAAAAGACACUCAUCCUUCUCUCUCAUCGAAGAACGGGUUUGACCUGAGACUACCGGGGAAGAUGAGCCAUGGAUACUCAUCACUAGAUUCUCUGCCUUAGGGUCGCCAUCUCCAAGACAUCCACAGUGAGUUAUGUCGCACUUGGCCAUCCACGCAUACUUGCUCCGUUCGACAUCUUAUUUAUGACCUUCCACGCCGCAUACUUCCCUCCUUUGGUGAAGUAAAUUUGCUGCGAAUUAAAUGCAUGGCGAGUAAGGGGAUUAGACGUGGAAAGAAGCUGGUUGACGAGCUGUUGUGCAGCACAGGACUUCAUUCGCAAGUGAUGCUGGGGGUGAGGGUCGUGGCACCAUGAAUGGUUGUGGAUGAGAAGACAAUUGUGCUAUGGGGUACAGUUCCUUCAGUGCCUUCUGUUUACCCUUUUUGCCGUUCUUGAGUUCUUUCAUUAAACAAUAGCUGAAGAAAUUUGAAUCUGUUGGCGAACCUUUGCGUCGUUGUAGAAAUGUCAGCAUAGCUCAGUCCAAUCCUGAAUGCACAAGGUUGUGUAUGUGGAUGCUCGGGUCACAUCGACGUCGGGUCGGAUUAGGUCAAAGCGUCGUAUCCCGAGUGCGGUUCUCCGUCAGGAGGUUGCUACUACUUCGUUGUCGAUUUCUACGUAAAGGUCGAAGUUUGGAAGGAGAUUUUCCAACUCGAUCCCUCUAAAAUUCAAGUCAGUGUUGUAGAGUUAGGGGGAGUUGAGUAUCCACCUUUAUGAUCAAGGAGAGUUGAUCGUACAUGGUUAAUUAACUACAACCAACUUCUCGAGCGGUCGACUUAAGCUUUUGUGCGAGCGCCAAUCGGCCUACACGGAUCGGCGCCGCACGGUGCUUCCCUGAGCUUUCCGAGACGACUGUAUCGUGAUGAUGUUGUUCAUACGGAGGGAGCAACGAGCGGCUGCCUACCAUGUGUGUGCUUCACGUCAUAUCGACUUAAAGUUCCAUGUCAACAUCGUGACGUCUGCUUGCUUGGAUCCACACGGGUGAUACCGAAAUGUGUCAUAUCAUAAUCUAUAGCCAAUAUUCUUAAUUUGGUUCCUUUUCCAUACCCAAUAUAUGCUUGCAGUUGUAGAUUAAAGUAUCUUGUUGGAGGAAGCAAGAAAUGGAUGCUCUUUUUCCUGCAAACAAAAAAAGGGAGGGCUGUAAGAACACUAGAGUGAGUUCUUCAAAAGCGAUAAUGUCUCCCAUGAUCCAGCAUCUUUCCAUGACUCUGAUAACAAGUUUGCUUUUCGAAAGUUAGAGCAAGCGAGGACUGAAUGCAAGUGGUACCAUCGUUGUCCUCUCCAUCCAAUACCAUUUGUUCAUUUAAACUAGUCUUUUUCCAUGACAAAGACCACACCAAAUCUUCAACUAGUGUUUUGCUGUCCCUGCUUUCCUGCCAGUUCCACUCCCAUUAAACAGCGCCACGCCUUUUGACUUGCAGCAGCUGCAGCUCUCUCUGACGAAUCCAGUCUUUCCACUGUUUAGCAAGGAAAUGUUAGGCCUUUAAGAACCCAAUACCUAUAGCCGAAGUCACACCUGCAUUUACCUUUCACUCAAAGUGGCACUGCACUCUCUUCAUCCUUGCAGUCUCUGUUUCCCCAUAGGAAGUGGUCAAGAACAGAACUGGGACUUUCUUCUAUGACUGUGCGUGUCCGAGGGAAAAAGAGAGGGAUUUGUUAGUAUUGGGAGGCAGGAAAGUUGUGUGUUUCCUUUUACCUUUCCGGUUAAUAUCCUCUCUCUCUCUCACACGCACACAUCCUUCGCACUUUCCAAUCCUUCGUUUUCUAUAUAGAAGGAUUUGAGAAGAAAGAAGGAGAGACAUGAUUGAAACCCCACUCCAUCUUGUCUGCUGUAAUGUGCAUUGCACGAGAAGAAGAACCCCAUCAGCGGUGGUUCUCUAUGUAUCUCUCUCUUCCCCUUGCACAAACACAAUAUGUCCCCUCUCUUGGUCAGCAGUAUCAUAAGGUGGAGGCAGCGGCGUCUCAUUUAGUUCGUGGUCGACGUCAUGUGGGAUUACCAAAGGGUUGCUUGCAGAGGUUAUUGGCAUUCUGUCCACCUCCAAAUCAUCCAUCUCCCAUGAACAAGAGAAGCUUACAGAUGGAGGUGGGCAUCCUGCCAACUGAACUCUGCUAGCUUCUCUUUGUAAAGCCCAUUUGACAGAUCUUGUUCCCGAACAAGCCCUAUAUUGCUCUCAUUAUAAGGGAGAAAGCAAACACUUACAUGCCCAGAAUAUGAAAAGAAGGUAACACAUGCAGCUCCUUUCUCAUUCAUUCUUUUAGUAGUACGUUGUUAGGAAGAAGUUCUUCUUCUCCGCUGCUAUAAUCUAUCAACGUUAGAUAUUGGAAUUAUGCAGCCAUCAAUUGAUGAGUUAAAAUUAAAUGCUUGUCUCGUGAGAAUAUAACUUACGUGGCUACAUAAAUAUUGAGAGUACUCUUUGGGAAAAGAACUUAUUGCCAAGAAGAAAAGAAACCUUAGAACAUUUGGACCGAAUGUCUUCAGCACAAAUCUUAUAGGUGAGAUGAUAUGAUUGAAAUAUCAGCAGGAGCUUCUUCCCUUAAGCCAGCCUUAGCUUAGAGUGGGCGAGUAGAUCGGUCAGCUGCUCUACCACAGAGAAGGGCGUUGUUUGGGAUUGGAUGCUCGUCCCUUACUGAUUCCACAGGAGAGUAGACACGCAGAUAGAACUGCUGACCGAGAUACCGGCGCCCCCAGAACUCCGACCGCAGGUUCCACAUCCCCACGUUGUCGAGGGCGACGUAAACAGCAGUCCAUGACUUGGGAUAUACCUUCACAUAUCAGUUGGUGAGAGAGUGUUAAUUCUGAGCUCCUUUGAACAAACUUGGCAAAGUAUCAGACCAGUAUUAGUUUGAGAGAUUAAAGAGAGCGAGGAGAGAUGAAACUGUCAGCAUUUUUCUUUUGCAAAGAGUUAUACUAAUAGCUGCAAGAAUCAGCUCAGCGACAAGCUUGCUCCGAUUCGUGCAGGUCAAAAGCAGAGACAAUGUAUCAUUUUCUGAGAGAAGAAUCAGAACUCUCAUCUUACUUGGGUAGUGCAGCGAGACACUGCAUCGAUGCGAUUGUAAUCCCUUCGUCUGUCCGGGCUCCAUUUUCCACCAUCCAUUCUGAAAACCAUAAUGAGAUACCAACAUCAAGAAGUUGAAUUUGGCUGCAAGCAAGCUUGGUUUUGCGGAGGGAUUACCCGACGACCCAGAAGUUGUAUCCAUCGAGGUGCCAGCUCUGGACGAUGCUCUCCUUGUUCUCGAACACGAUCUCCGCGAAGGCGUGAAAGUCGGCCGCCAUGACCGAGGUGUCGAGGUGCUCCUUGGCGCCCGGGGGGUAGUCGGCGAUGCUCCCGAGCCGGAAGACGCCGCCGAUCUUGAAGUGAUCGGCGAGCUUCAAGGGGGUGUCCGCUUCCACAAACGAGACGCUGUUCACCGCGUAACGUUGCUUGCCGUUCACCUGGGCGGCUGAGUUGGCGAGUCGGACCGCCCGGGUCACGUUGAUCGAGCCAUAGUGGUAUGAGCCCUGCGGAUUCGGCCUUGGCCCGCUUGCAGUGAGGUUCGUCCUGCGCAACGUUAUGCUUGCAGAAAAGUAGGUGAAGAAUGGGAAUGAGAUGCAGCACAGCAUUGAAAUGUGCACCUGAUCGUGCGCGCUUGCUCCAGAGACCAAUCGAUCUGACCCGUAGGCCCUGCCGGGAUGGAUCCCGACGCCUUCUGCUUCGAGUUGCGGUAGUGAAGAGUGGCAGUGGCGGUAAGGACGGGGUUGGUGAACCGGGUGGACACGGCGAUGUAGUAGUCCCGGACGGGCUGGUCGGCGGUGACCAGCACCGACAACGACUGGCCGACGUGCACGUCGAGGGAAGAGUAGUCGUUCUGCAAGGUGUGAGUGCCCUCCACCUCCACCAGCUUCAUCGUGUGCGCCUGCACCCGGAUGUUCAACGAGUUCUGCAGCCCAACGUUGGAGAUCCUCAGCCUGUACGUCUUGCCUGCAGCGCCCAACACAGAGAUGGAAGACGUAGCUAACUCAUGAUGUGCGACAUGAGUAAGCGAUACCAACCUUGAUCGACUGCGAAGGUGGCGCCAUUGGAGCUGCGGCCAUUGAUGAGAAUGGCGUCCGGGAAGGGGAGCCUCUUGCCGCGGUCCAACCUGGCUUUUAGAACCUACUCGACAACAUUAAAAGACGGUACAAUAAUAUGAUCAUGCAAAUAACCAAUUGAAAGAAUUAAUGACUAAUAAACUAUAAAUUCAAAAAUAGUAUAUAUACAUCAUUUGCGUGAUUUGGUAUCGUGUCAAAUGAUGGCAUGGUUGCACACCAAUGAGACAUGACCAAUUCCCGAGACGACUCUCCAGCAUCACACUCGUGUGUGACCAACGCCACCAAUGCUCACAACCCCACAGAUCUUAUCACCGCUGUGAUUUUUGUUUUUCGACUAAAAGCAGUUUUAGUCAAAUUUUUAUCAUGAUAUCAAUCUUGAAUUCACAAAUAUUUUUCGAACGAAUUAGCAGAGUCGAAAGAACAAUCAAGGAGAUGAUGGAGUUCUCAUACCGAGUGACCGGCCUUGUACCAAUCACCGAUGAGGAGGGUGAAGUCAUCGGCGGGGGUGGCGAAGGGCACGGGGAUGCGGGGCCUGCUCAGGAUCCGGAUGCCCCCGAAGCCGCCGGCCGCCUUGUGGAAGGCCAAGGACGGGAAGUAGAAGAAGCUGCCGAUUUGGUCCUUGAGAUGCAUCACGUAAGUGAAGUUCUUCCCGGGUGGGAUGGGGCAGUUGGUCCCCGAGACGCCAUCUUGCCAUGAGUUCCCUCUUUGCUGCACCCCGUUCCUGCUUCCCGAAUCAGAGAACCUGGUCAGCUUGCCAUCCUGCCAUUCGUUUACCUCCGCAGCAAACAUUUCCAGCUACGUAAACUCCAUUAGCUACCAAUCGAGGACAAGGACUGAAGGGCAAGUUAGCAUGAUUUCCGUAUGGCCGAUACAUUGAUGGCGUCCCCUUUUUAGCUUUAGGAAGUGGGCUACUAUAUCCUAAUUAGAAAAUAGACAGCAUCAAUAGCUCCGGAAUCAUCAGUAAGCGACCCAAAGUGCUUAUUCUUAGAAGUGCAUGACUGCGUACUAAGAGAACUCAGUUUACCAUAUCGAUUUCUUUCGGUUCCAUGAAUGUUUAUAGCUUCGAGUGUUCAGCUCAGUCCAUUAAUUCUCUUUCCAAUAACCAUUUAUGCAUUUCUAUAUGCAUGGGCAACAAGUUUGAGCCUUUUCUACAAGGACUAAGAGUUAAAGAGCAACAUAAUUUAGGUGACCAUAUGGGACAAUAAGAUUCUGGUCUUUUGCACUUAAUCCAUUGCGAAAGCGACAUGAAUGACCUCUUUGUUUCGUUGCGAUGCAAAUGUCUUGAUCAUUAAUACGAAAAGCUAUGAUGAACUUCCGAGGAGGAGGUCCUUUCGCAUGCACAUGAGAGAGAGAGAGAGAGAGGAAGAGGAGACUUGCCAUGAGAUGAGAAAGGGCUCUGUCAGGCUGUUGUAUACGUUUACGAUAAUAUUGUCGUUGGUCUGUGAAUGGAUAUCCGGCCCUGGGAAUUGCCCAUUGAUCAGUAUCCCCUGUGUUCAUUCGGAUCGAUCCACCCAAGAAAAGGAAACGUUGAACCACAAAUCUUGGCGAUGUUGAUAGAAAGGGGGAGAGAGAGAGAGGAUAAAGAACAGCACAGAGCACCUGCUGCCGGAUUCCCAGAGGGUAGAUAUCUCCGAACGUGACGUUCCAAUCGAAGAACCUGUACGGGUCCUCAGCACCAACAAGCAUGGCCAAGAAACAACAACCACAUAAAAGAACGACAGUCGCCUUGCCCGAGGCCAUCGAUUGAUCUGAGAAGGGUCUGAAAUGGAAGGCGAAGCGACCGACUCUGAGCUUUUACUCAACUUCACAUCUUAUACGUCUCUACUCGAUGUAUGGAGACUGGCAAAGACAGGAUGUGAACAGGAAGAAGAUGGGUUUUGUGUGAGCGUGGGUUGUGGUGGUGAUGGAAACUUUUAGUGCAAGGGAAGUAUGCAAUCUUGUGAAACAACGCCAAGUUGCCCAGUGGGGGUACUCAAUAAGGUAUCAGCUCAAUUAGUGUUCUCGAGAUGCACCCCUUUGAAAUGAACUGAACGAACUGUAGGGAAAAGGUUUGUAAUUAUUGUCUCUGUGAAUUCCAUAUAUAUAAUGUUUUUGAAAGGAUAUCUUAUAAUAUAAAAUAAAUAAUUUAAUUAGAUUUCAUCACUCUUCAUAUUAAUGGAAGCACAAAAGUAGAUUGAUAGAAGAUAUUAUUCCUUAAUGCUUAAAUCAUGACAAGAGAACCCAUAUAAUUUUUUUUUUUUCAGUUUUAUCAAAAGAUGUCUAUUUUUUUGGUUUUUCUCAAAAAAUAACCCUCAUUAAAAAAAUAUUCAGAAUACCUCUCACGAAUUCUUCCUAUAAAAAAUUUUCAUCAAUUUUUUCAACCGUUACAUUAAUUUUAUUUGACUUAUUUAUAUUUUUAAUAUCAUUUAAUAUUUUUAUUAAGAUAUUAAAAUUAUUAUAAAACUAUUAAAAAUAUUGUAAGUGGCAGUAUAUUCUGUUUCUUUGGUUAUCAUCGGUAGAUUAUUACAAUAUCAUAUUUUUAGGGUUGUAAUUAAUUUGAUUAAGAUUAGGAAUCUAUUCGGGUCAUUUAUAAUAUUUUUAUUAUGGUGAUCAAAAUCCUAAAUUAUUAUAAAUACCUAUUUGAAUUAUAGUAUGAUGUAUCAAAUACUUGUUAAUGUGUUUUGAUUCUAUUUGACCCACUUACAAUAUUUUUCAAUAAUAUUAUAGUAUUUCUAUGAACUUAUAAAGAUAUUGAAAAACAUCUUUAGUUAUUUUGCACGUAGAUGUAUCAAAUUUUUAGAUUUGAAAUUAGUUUGAUUGAUGUUACGAGUCUAUUUAUAUCAUUUAUAAUGCUCCCAAAUAGAUUUUUGUUGUGGUGGUCGAAACACUAUUACGACAGCAGGGAUAGUGCCGUAGAAAUGAUUUUAAUGACACAUAUCCGGAUCUAAGUAGUUUUGUCACUACUACUGUUGGACUUACACUAGAAAUGAAGCUUGCAUUUCGUUAGCAAUGGCUUUGAUUCUUUUUGAGCAACGAGUGGGAGAAGUGGUGGGUUUCAUCACUAAGAAUUCUUUUGCUUUCUUCUGAAAACUCGUAGGAUUUAAGUAGCAAAGAGUGUGGAAAUGGUUCCUAUUUACAUGAGUAAUAGAUCACUAGGGGUUCUCUUGUCAUGAUUUAAGCCAAGUUCAAAUCCUAGUAGUUUUAUUUCCAUUACAUAUAAUGAUGCAGAAUAUACGUGACAAAUAUACAUUAUGUAAAUAGAAAGUUUUUGACUGUUUUUUCGUUAUUCAUCUUCUGAAAAAGAAAGAGAUAUUAUUCGAACCAUUUGCAUUUCUAACUCAUAUUAAAUGGUUAAUUUAGUUAAUCAGUCAAGAAUAUGAUCCGAGUGGAUAAUAGUUAAAUUAUGAUGAGAGAAAAUAUUAUUGACGUUUUAGUUAGUCUGACGUGAUCUGGACCCACAUGCACAGGGUUGUCCAAGGUGAAAACGUCGAGCUCCCGAGGUAUCACGUACAUGAAGACUAAGGUCAAGAGAGGUUUUUCAACCUAAUCAUUCAACGUUCAAGUUAGUAAUCCAAAAUCUUUGAGUGUGGACAUGAGCAGUAAAAAAAAGGUAAAUUUUUUUUAUUAUGUUAAGGAUAUAUUUUUAUAUUUAGUCGCAAAUGGACAAAAUAUUCCACGGGAGUAACAUAUUCAAUAGAAUAUUCUGUGGACUCUUGUCCAUGUUGACAGACGAAUGGAAGGUGACCUGGAUCUCAUGUGACGAUUACGUGUCAAAUGAUGAUUAACCGACAUUAUACUCCUUAUUAUUUGUCCCCCUCCCUUCGAAGAUAUGCUUCGGAGCUCUUACGAGAGUAGCUCGAAUUGCGACGUUUAGUUUAUUCAAUACAAGAGCGUUUGAUAUCUUCUCUUAUAAGUCAGGUUUUCCCAACUCACGUGUCUUGAGCAUAUUUUACUCUACGCUUCUGUCAUAUUAACUUUCAUCUCAUACGAAUCAGAUUUUUCUAACUCAUAUCUUUCAGGCACAUACAUUACUAAUAAUUAUUUUAUUAAUUAAUAAGCUAAAAUAAUGGAUUGAGAACAUAUGAUAUAAUGUGUCUCCGUCAAGACACACAGGUAUACCAACAUUUUCUAGAGUUUAAGGUAGCUACCAUUUUAUGAAUAGGAUUAGGGCCUCAAUUCCAUUGAUUAAAAAUUAACUACUCCAUGAAUUUUGUUUAAGAUGCUUAAGAAACUCUUAUAAAAAUAACCAUACAGACUGAAAUAUACAUCGAGCGAAUCAAAAUAUAAACAGUUUUAUCAACGUAGAAUACAUGGUUUUCAUCUCUACAGCAAAAAAUUAAUGGUCUAUCUUUUUCGAUAGAAUGACUUAUAUAUAUAUAUCAUAAAUUCAUGCACCAAUGCUUUCACAUUAUUUAUUGUGUGUUGGUUUAUUUGAUAAAUACAGAAAAUAUUUUCAAACUAUAUAAAUUAUAAUUUUAAAAUAUUUUAACAUCAUAAAUCAUGUCUGAUAGAAAAUAUUUGUGUGAAGAGAGAUUAACGGAAUAAUCUUAUAUUAAUAAUAUCGAGAGAUAUAUUCAAUCUAAAAACUUAAAAUUUUAGAUUGAAUUAUGUUUGAUUCGAUAUGUGUUAAUAUAUGUUAACCAAAUCAACGAACUACGGGGAAACUGCGAUGCCUUGACACCCAUGUCUUGUCCAUGUUGGGUUGGAGAGAGGGCGAGGCAUGUGCACGCCAGCGAGAACACUUCAAUUGCUCAUGUUUGUGGUUGAUGAGAGCGAUGGCACAACUUCUCCUCGGAGGGAAGCUUACUAUGCUUUGUUCUUGGCUACCAUAUGGCCCAGGCUUUCAAUGAAGGAUGAGGAGGGGUUGGCGGAAGCUUCCCCGAAGCCACUCAUUGAUGGUCCUUUGAUACCAUUGGUUGAGUCUUUUUAUGACUUCAGUGCAGUUUGAGCUGGAAAUUUUGUGUCUGUGAGAACAGUGGCAUUGCUGACAUGAAUAUGCUGUUUGGAUAAGGUAAAGAUGGACCUACAGUGUGCCGAAGGGUUCUGUAGCUCAUGUGCUUGUUCUUUCUUUUGUUGGAUUUGGAAUUGCUAAUAGAUUUUUAUUGUUCGCUAGUAUGCAUAUAUGUAUUUGAAAACAUGUUUGUUUUUUUUUUUCAAACAAAAAAAAAAUUAUUACGCUAAUUUGUUAAAAUCUUUCACUUGCGAAUAGACGAAUAUUUUUUUUAAAAAAUAUUUGUUCAGAAGCUACGUUUGUGAUAUCUUCCUCUAAUCCCAUGUCCGAAGAGAGUGAAAAUAUAAAUUGACUUAUAAGAAUACGAUGAACAUGAAAGUAAUGAUUAGUUUAGUUGAUAAAGAUUUUGAAUCUCUCCAUCCAGUCAACAAUAAAAAAAAUAAUGGUGUAAAAGUUUUCGACAAAAUAAAUUUUUCGAAGAAAAAAAAGAGAAAUAUAUAAAAUGAUAAGUACAAUCCACUUCAUCGAAAUCAAGCUUAAACAAUAGUAUGUUGAUCCCACUGCCAUUAACCAUCAAGUCCUUCACACAAGAGCUUUACAAAAGUAAGUUCAAGAAGCAAUAGGGACAUCCAAAACAAAAUGAUCACAAGAUUGGUCAUUACCAACUAAAUACAAGAAAAAAGGAUCUAAUUAUUACCAAAGAAAUACAAGAAGCCAGGCUUCAAAAUCUGAAAAGCCCUAACGAAGACCCAUCCCAACUCCCAGUUGGACUUGGGAGGAUAGUGAGGACUCAAAAAGCAAAGGCUCCCGUACUUGGCCUUUGACAACCUUGAAAGCAAAUGGACAACCAACUUCUGCUGGUGGGAAAUCUCUGUACAUGCGACACACGAUUCAGUAGACGGAAACAUUUGUGCUUCUACGACGCUAUUAUUUGUUGCUGGUGACAUCCGGGAUGAACCAGCCUGCACCGGUCUGCAUCGAUGAUGGAGGCAAGCAAAGCCCUCUCCACAUCUCCGGACAUGCGUCUACCGAGCAAGGAGAGGAUGUACUCCAUGGAAACCGCGCUGCACGCCAACGUGAUCGGCCCAUCGCCUGGUAGUCCAAACUCCUCCUCCGACACCCUUAGUAGCUCCUGAAAUAGACGGCUCUUGAGGAACGCCAAUGGGACUAUGAACCUCGCAUCGUCCACAGUGUACACCACAAAAUGGCCCUUCUCAGCGACCACUGUCGUGCAAGCGCUGGAACUGGGAGCUCUCAUCAACGGGAAACCCCUCUUUGCCUUCUCGACAAGCCUCUUGGGACUCAACAUGGUUAACCGGGCUGAACAAGCACUUUUCUCCGGCAAACAAACCCUUAGACCGAUGGAAAAGCCUUGGAUGUGCUUGGGAUCACCAAACGUAGUCCUCUACUUAUAUUGAAGAGGAAGCACCUCAGUCCAGAUCUGUAUCUUUCAAACGUUGCAUUGCAAGGGGAGCAAAGCCAUGUGGGAGCUUGCAAGAGGAUGUAAAUGUGACAGCUAUAUGUUUAGAUUUGGUUGGACGAUUCCUUUAUGUGGUCGGAUAAUGUGUUCGUGGUUAGCAGUGUAGCUCCUCCCUUUCCUUCUGGGAGAUCUGAGGACAUGUAGGUCCAUGGGGUUAUCCUCGAAAAGAUCCUGAACCAACCUAAUGAAAUGUACACCCUACUGGUACCUUCAUCGUCUCUUGGUUUCUAGAGAACAUGUAGUUCCUUCUUGAACUUGCAUUAGAACCCAAAACACGUUCCUUUACCUUCUUACGGUCAGCCACUACGUGAUCCUACACACCAUCUCAGUAGCUUCUUCGUAAUUGUUGCGGAACUCGAUCGUUUUUGUUCGUGACGUUUGGCCAUUUGGCUCUCGCGAGUGCUACGGAUGUGCUUCUUUUGUUCUUGCAGUGUAGGGGAUGCAUGACAGUAAUGACAAGCGAGCGGUCGCCGACGGGCUUUCGUUUAGGUUUCGCUUUCAGCAGGGCACUUUGUCUGUCUGGUGAUGGCAAUUGCUCUGCUGACUCGUGAACGCGAACAGCAUGGACCGACAAACGCGCCCGAGGCUGGUGGUAUAGCUUCCACGGUCGUCAUGGUUGUUCUAUCUGCUAAUGGCAUUUAUUGACAUGUCACGUAUAUGUUCCUCGGUAGCAAAGAUCUCUUGAAUGGUUUCUGGACGUGUUCUUACACGUCCUCUUCUCAAGAACAGUUUUACCAGUGUAAGCUUACGUACAUCGUAAUGAAAAUUGAAAAUGCAGUCCUCAUCGGACGUUGACACCAUGCACUUUGUCACCUCCAUUUCAGCACUACAUCUAGACAACACCUAUGAGGAAGAUAAGACGCAUCACGACACUUGGGUUGAUUAGAUUUGUCUGCGGCUGGCAGCUUUAGAUCCCUAGUUUCUUUCGAGUGAUCUGAAGACAUGUAGGCUCCAUGCCAUUGGUCAUCUUAAAUGGAUUUCUUAGUUGACCUAACAAUAUGGGCAUCUAAGUGGUUCUUGACUGUUGGAUUCUUGCCCAUGAUCUUUGGAAAAGUUCCGUAGGUUCUUCAACAUCUUCGUAUAUAUUAACUGGAGCUCUUCCUCAAUUACUCUACAGAAAAAAGUGGAAAUCCCACUUUUUGGCAAUCAUCCAAUGAUGUACUCUUGGAGAACAAUGAUCGACACAAAUUUAUUCUUGUCAUGCAGAUAUCGUACAAGUGGAAACAUCCAAUUUGAACUCACUUUUAGAAAGGCAAGACAGCUAUAUUUGAAUCAUAAUUGAGACAGUCACCUUAGGAUCCUGAAUUAUAUGUAUCUGCUUUUACGCAUCAUGGCAUCAUAUCCAAGUGAUAGAUUAUAUAGUCUUUUGGAAGACAAUCGACAAAGUUCUUUCUUGUAAUGCUGAUAUUGUGAUAUCAUUUCAAGAUCAUUCAUCUUCUUGUAUGCAUGAAAUGGUGCUUGACAUCAGAAUCACGACUUUCUAGGAAGCAAGAUCAUGUGCUUCCUGGUGAGAAGAUUAAUUUCUGCAUUUAUGCUGAUGUCGGGCCAUUAAUCUUUUGUGAGUGCUACGAAUGUAUUUUCUUUUGUCCUUGGUGGUGUAGGAAUGCAUCAAGAACAUCAUCAUUCUAAUGAUCGAUGAAGCUUUCAAAGAACCAUGAACCUACGAUCUGCUGCUUAAGGUUCUGUACCUUGCGUAGCUGUCAUUGACGUUGACAGGAUAUUGCUGUCUUCUCUUCUCAAUAACAUCUCCCAAAUGGAGUUAUUUGUGAUCAACAUUCGCCCACAUUUUUUUGGAUCGAAUACUUGGAAUCUGUCAGCUAAGACAUACUUCUAACCUUCUUUCUCUUAAUGCAUGGAAAAGGAUUUUAGUUGGAAAAUGAUGAAAUCAUGUUGAAGGCUACUGUUUCAUCAAUGGCACCAACAAUGUCAGACUGAGAUAUUAUCCAUACUAACUCAUCGACUUUAAGGUUCUCUGUCUUGAAAAAGAAUGUAUACUUCUCUUAAGCUGCAAGCUUAGAUUCUGAAGGUCUCGACAGGUACAUGUGAUCUCUACCUUCGUUCUUCGAAGCUGCAAUAGUACUGGGAAAUUGUCAAAGAUGAUAGCUUGGGGUGGUGGACCGCAUGCAUGAUCGUUGAUCUGCUACAUGCAUCUUUUUGACCGAAGCACAACAAUCACAAAAGACGCAUAUACAAAUCGAACAAUCUCUGCGCUACCUCCCCAUCCUUUUUGCACAAAGUUUUCAUUCAGUCAUGUAGAGGACCACAACAUACGCUUUGCAUGAUGAGGAAUCAAUGUAGAAAAGAUAAGAGUAGGACUCGAGGCAUUUCAUUGUCCUCGUUCAACCCUUUCGGCGCACUGUUCUCGACCACGCAAUCGCUUCUCAUCAGUUCAAAGCCUGGGCCAACGUGCUAUGCUGAUGAUCAAAGGAGAACUUAGACCAAGUUCAUGGCCCUCUUCCACAACCCCGAGAAAAAUCAUUCUGAGAAAUGCCAUUUGGCAUUACUAGUAUAUCCAUUCUAGUUAGUAGUCUUAGCAUUUGUUUUUGCCAAGCAUAAUUAAAACUUGCUCACAGCAGAAAUGUUGACAAAUCAUGCUUAGCAGAAACAUGCUUCCGUCGAUUACUGAGCUAAGCUAGCAAGAAUCAUUGCAAAAUGUUCCAGAAACAGACAAUACAAGCUAAAGUAGAGAGGAAGAGUGUGAUCUGCACUCUACAGGGGGCAACUCCUCUCGCGAGCAGUAGCUACAACGCCGACUCUGUUUUGACAAACGCAAGAGAAGAGAGAUUAUCCUGUCAAGGGCUGACGCUUAAAGAGAAAAGCGAAAAGGACUGCUGACUACGAUUAGCACUUGUAGCUUCCAUAUUAUUAUCUCGUCAAUUCUAGAGGCAUUUGUUUUCUCAUCUCCAACUGCUUUGGACCGACUACUUCACGUCGUCCAUUAGAUUUCACCCAUGGAAAGAUACCCAAGGAACAAUUAAAACAUGGUUCUGAGAAGAUGCCGAAAGAGAUUGAUACUUCAUGCAUGGGUCUGCUCUUCUCUUCUGACAUAUGGCUGCAGGACCAGUUGAUGGGCGCGUGCAUCGGUCAGUUUCCUUUCUAAUAUUCUUAUUGUUCUACACUCAUCUUAUUGGACUGUUCUGCCCCAAGAUCUGGCAACCCAGUCGUCUCCUCUGCCUCGCCUCUAUUUGAUCAGAAGAAGGGAACUUUCCUCCAUCUCCUCUCUGAACACCAACAUGGGUUGUGACUCUGUCUGCUUGAUUUUUGUUCUCUUCCUUCUUCCCUGCUCUGCUAUGGCUUGUGACAGGUGUGUACAUCAAGCCAGGGCUGGCUACUCCUCCUCCUCUGCUUUCUCUGGUAUGUUGCAGCACUGCAAACUUGUGCUUCUUUAGUUCAGUGCUCCAAAGCAGAAGAGGUUUUAUCCGGUUCGAUCGGUUUGUCCUUACAGUCGGAGCUUGCGGAUAUGGUUCCUUGGCUUUGGGCUUCAGCGGAGGCUAUGUUGCUGCUGCAGGCUCUUCUCUUCACAGAGGUGGUAUUGGCUGUGGAGCAUGUUUCCAGGUUAGAUUCACAUGCAAUUCCACGUAAAACUUAUUGCUCUUGUCAAUCAUAUAAUCACUCGUUUUAAGCAGGUAAGAUGCAAGAACACGAAGAUAUGCAGCAGCGGAGGUGUCAAAGUGAUCCUUACGGACCUCAACAAGAUCAGCGACACCGAUUUGGCUCUCAAUAGGCCGGCUUAUGCAGCCAUGGCACGAUAUGGGAUGGCCAAAGAGCUGAAGAAACUGGGCAUCGUAGAUGUGGAAUACAAGAGGUAGUGAGUUGAAUGUUGGAUGUCAGAGUUGUGGUCAGACAUGCAUAUAUUGUUUCUCGCAACAUGGUAGCCACUGUUGUUUCUGAAUCGGAAACUUCUUCUUGUUUGCUGUGAUCAGGAUUCCAUGUGAGCACAACAAGAACUUAUCCAUUAGAGUGGAAGAGAAAAGCCAAAGCCCGAACUAUCUGGCCAUCAAGGUCCUGUAUCAGGGAGGUCAGACUGAUAUAGUAGCAGUGGACGUGGCACAGGUAGUAAAAAGGCUCACAAGAACCAAUUGAACCGGAGUACUAAUGCUACGCGUUGGGUCCACAGGUGGGAUCGUCGGAUUGGCAAUUCAUGAGCCGGGAAUACGGACCUGUGUGGAGCACGAACCGGGCGCCUCCGGGGCCGCUACAGCUCAGAAUGGUGGUCACCGGCGGCUACGACGGGAAGUGGGUUUGGUCUCAGGAGGAGGUCCUGCCGGUCGACUGGAAGACCGGGUCGGUUUACGACUUGCGGGUUCAGAUCACUGACAUCGCUCAAGAAGGCUGCUUCACCUGUGACGCAAAAGACUGGUAGUGAUGCACGCUCGAGCUCCCUCGUUUCAAAAGAUUCGAUAGGCUAAUUAUAUGUUUCUGCUAACCACAGAUCAUAUGUUUCUGAUGAUAAAGAAUAAUAUAUACAACCUCCCUGCAAACAUGAAGAGUGCAUGAAGAAAACAACCAGAGCCAUAACGCAAGUUAAUUUGCAUCUGCUUCUGAUAGUGGGUGAUGAACAAUAUGAUCUCUUUGCUAACUUCAGGAGGGAAUGGUUGCCAAGAAAUCAGAGAAGACACAUAAAUGAGCCAAAACGAAAAGAAAAUAAGUUCAUGCAUGUACAUAAAGAGAGUAAUAGUAUCUCAUUCAUGUACCUCUCAACAAUAUAAAUGAACAAAAAAUUGUAUUCUCUCUUAUUUCACGUUUGAACCAUAAUGUGUCGAUGAUGUAUAUACGCUAUAAAUGGAAGUAGUAGUACAGUAGUUAGAAGCCGGGAGUGAGAAUGUUGAGGAGGGAAACACGGGUGUUGACGAGAGUCCUAAACACCAGCUCGCUACCCUUCUCCAUCUCUGCCAUGCAAUCCUCCAAUUCCACCAACCUUUCCAACGCCCCCAUCUCCUCCUCCUCGUCCUCCUCGUCCACCUCCACCUCCUUGCUCUUCUCUGUCCCUCCUCCCUUCUUCAACAGCUUCAACCUCGCCCUCUCUCUCCACCUCAUCACUGCAGCCACCCACGUGCAUGUCGGCGGCAAAGCAGGUGUAGCCAUCGUCGUGGAGGCCGAUAGAGCUGCGACUCCAUUGAAGACCGCUGCCGAGGUUGCAGCCGUUACUGUGAUCACCUCUUUCAUUACUUUGGCCAGCUCCGCCUCCUCUUCGUCUGCAGAGCCCGUGAACAGCGGCGGCGACCGUCCGACGACGCGAAUUAAGGAAGCCAGCUUGAAUAGCUCUUUCUCAACCCGGCGCUGCGAGCGGAGGCAGGAGGAGAGACGAAGCCCGUCGUUUCGGCGGCGGAGGGCGGCGCGGGUGGCAGAGAGGCGGUGCUUCAGGUCGAGAGCGGCGGAGCGGAAGGAGGCGUGGGCAUCGGCGAGGCGGAGCAGGUCGUCGAGGAGGCGGUCAGCUAGCCGAGAGUAGCGGCGGCGUCGUCGGAGUGGGUCCUGAGCCUGGGGAAGGCCGAGGAGGUCGGGGAGGGCUGCGAGGAGGAGCUGGACGCGCACGAGUCCGUCUGAGAGCGAGGCGGGAGAAGGGGACGGGCACCAGGAGCGGAGGGCGCAGAGUUCGGGGCGGAGGUGGUCGGCGAGGGGGUGGAGGCGAGCGGGCAGGCUGACGGAGCGUGCUCUGAAGGAGAGCUCCGCAGCGCCUCGGGCGGAGCGGUGGCAGGGUUGGCUGAAGGGGUGGGGUACGGCUGAGAAGGAGAUGGAGCGGCGGAAUCCGAUCCCCGCCAUCCUUCUCUUCAUUUCCUCCAUAUCAGGCCUCAUGUCUCUUUCCUCGACGAUGGUGAUGACGACGAUGGGCUUCGUUGGAUUUAUACAAGAGAGGGAGGUUGUGCAUUUGAUGCUUCCAAACUAGCUUUAAACACGUCGGUGUAGGGGGUGGAUCCGACGAGCAUCUUCAAAACGCCCGAGGCUGGCGCUGUGGACGGAGCUUUCACGUGGAAAUCACAAGUAAUAGAGGAGAUUCCACCUGGUGCUCAUGCACCUCCGCCCAUCCACGGUCGGCGGCAUCAGCGAGAAAUGCUUCACAUUUCCCGACCCAAAUCACAAUCACGACUCACGUGGCAGGUGCAUCGUAGGUCAACAUACGUACCCAAUCGGAAGCGCCACGUGUCCCCCGCACUCUAUGCUGAGCUGGAAGAAAUAGUCUAUCCGGAAAUAUCAGAAAAAGAAAGAUACAAAACAAAAAUGGGUGUCGAUGCGACGGAAUCGACGGCGGCAAAUCUAGAGGGAAACUUUCCCACGUCAUAAAUGCCACUGUACAGCUAUGUUUAAACUCCUUUAAAGAACCAAGUGUCCAGUGUUGAACACCGAUCAGGAAACAUCGAGGAGACAGGAGGCGCGUAGAUUUCUCUGAUCUACAGCUACUUGAUUAACUAAUUAUAAUAUAUUUUUCUCCAUUAUAAUACAGUAAAUACUGUAGAAUUUUGUACAUCUCAGAUUAGAGUAAUACAGUAAAUACUUUCUCAUGGCCUUAUUUGUAAGAGAGCAAGCACCAAUUAAUCACAUUGUGGAUCUAAAAAACUGAUCUAAUCUGAUCAGAUCAGAUACACACUUCUCAUGAACAAUGUUGGGUUCGGCCAGGCUCGGAUUAGAGACAUCUUGGUUCGGUCCAGGCCCGGUCCAUUUACAACGCUAAUUUUGACUACGUCAAGUGCCGCAUGCCUGCCAUGACAUGUAAAUUGCAUGUCGCAGAAAAUGAAACAUAAUAUGGAUGAUGAACAUUGCAUGUAGCUAAAUCUUCUUAUUCUUGUUUGUUAAGUAGCAUCUGCUCUGCCCAACCGGUAGCCUAAUAACGCCGGUGACCAAAGAACAUAGGCGAUAGGAUGGAACGAGGGCGGACAGCACUCCCAUCUCUGUCAGCGUGCGCAACGCAACAUCAACGUCGAUGGGGUACGCUCGCUGAUGCGCUGUCGCACGGCCACCCGCAGUCUGCAGCGAGCACAGCGGCUGCAGGCGACACCCGCACUGCCCAAGCCGCAGCAGUCUCAGCUCCACCAACGCAACGCUCCUUCGCCUGCCCCCGCCACCGUCUCUGUUCUCUGCUUCCCAGAUCACAAAAGCGGCUUUGUUUGCGUGUCGGCCCCAGCGGCGCGUACGGCACAUCUUGCCACAGCCUGUACACGAUCAUACGCAAGCCACCAAUGAUUGGCCACUGCGAGGGGGUUUCACGGAUCCCACCUCCUAUUCUCUUCUCUCCCACCGCCAAACCCGUCACUGCUCUCUUUUCUGCAAGAAUGGUAAAGCCAAAGUUGGACAUCAAGCAUCGACUGGCUGCACCCAUUCGCUACUCUCAGCUCACCUCACCUCACCUCAAUACCAGAAGCUUGUCACAAAGCUUCAUUUAUAGACAGCACCUCACACAGAGACUGCAGGCUGGAACAAUAGCAGCCCCACAUGGGAGAGACACUUAACAGGAGGUUCUUCAGGUGAGUCAGAAUAGAAACAGGAAUGAUUCGGUGAUGGCUGCGUCAUCGUCGUCCGCAGCUAAAGUUCUUGCUGCGCAAUAUUAUUUCAGCCCCCAGUAACCGUUACUGUUCAAAGGCCAUAGCUCAGCUCGACCAGUAGUAAAACAUUGACGGUGGAGUGAGCCAAGUGGUGGCUGGAAACUUGGUUCAAACCUGGCAGUCUCUGAGCCUUCUCUUCCCUAGAAGACUAGAAGCAAGAGCGUGGAAGUUUACCAGUCCCUGCAAGCACCCCAAUAGAGCGAGGACUAGUCUGGCGACAUCUUUAAUCUCCGCUGGGUUUCUAGUUUUUCCCAUUUCAUUUCUUAUCUUCAGCAAGAUCAAGAACAGGUUCUUGUCUCGGAGGGUAAGAGCUGAUGAGCCAAUUUGUACAUCGUCGGGUUGUUCUUUUUUCUCUUUCACAUGGCACAAGCACUGGUACUUCGUUAUUCCAGGCCCUGAUUUUGACGUGAAGACUUUUCUUUUCUUUUCUUCAACUAUGAUUCGGGGGGAUUAAGGAUUAAAAAAAGUGUCGAUCCAAUGCAUUGGGGUCAUGCCGAGAUGUAGGCAACUCAACCACUCGAUCUUGACAAGAAAAAACAGUUCUUCAAGGGAAUUAUUGAGCAAGCUAAACUUCAACAUCAAGCAUGCUACAUUUGACAGAAUUUUUUUGAAUUUGUGGUUUUUGGAAGUAGAAAACUUUCUUCCAAAAACUUCGGAAACACAAAAAAAAAAGAAUAUUUGCAGAUCCCGUAACAAGGGGCUCAUGAUCUGUGAGUUUGAGUUUUCCUUGUUGGUAAUUAACAUCUGUGACCACCAGAGUUGCAUAUGAUGCCGAUAAGGGGUAAGCAACAGUAGCUGCAGGUACUCCAAAUACGUUUUUCUUUGUUAUGUCGAUGCUUGGUCAUUCAAAGGAAUGGACUGAGAGAAGAGGCAUAAUAACUUGUACAAGUCCAAACUCCUAUCAGAGCAAGAGGAGAGGAAUAAAGAAGGAAGCACGCAGAAGCAAGCAAAGAGAGAGAGAGAGAGAGAGGAAGGAGUAGAUCAGUAGAACUCUCCCUCGUCACGUUACCACUGUAAAGCGACUCUUUUUUUUUACCGUUCUCUUACGGUUUAACUGAUGCAUAUUAUAGGGGUAUAAAGAGGAGAGAAGAAGUUUCCAUCGAGAAAGGAGAAGCUUUUCGUAGUCGCCGUCGUCGUCACUGGUGGUGAUGGGGUGCUGCAAUUCCUCCCUCCUGCCAGAGAACCACCCGGUGGAGAAGCGGAGCCACCAGAGCCUGCAGCAGCAGCAGCGCCGUCCGUCCUUGUCGCUUCAGGCGGCGGUCGAGGGCAGCGGGCGAGAGGUGCCGGCCUUCGCGCAGUUCUCGCUUGCGGAGCUCAAGGCGGCGACCAACGGGUUCAACCCGCAGAACGCCGUCUCGGAGAGCGGCGACAAGGCCCCUAAUGUCGUCUACAAGGGCCGGUUGCAGAGCCGCCGGUGGAUCGCCGUCAAGAAGUUCGCCAGAACCGCAUGGCCCGAUCCCAAGCAGUUCGCUGUUAGCUUCUUCCCCCUUCAAUUUUUGUUCUAAUUCCGCCAUGCCUUGCUGUUUCUGGAUCACCAGGAAGGAGAAAAAUGUUGUUUUGUUGGGAUUUACAGGAGGAGGCGUCGGGAGUGGGGAAAUUGAGGCACAGGAGGCUGGCGAAUUUGAUCGGAUACUGUUGCGAUGGCGAAGAGAGGCUUCUUGUGGCCGAGUAUAUGCCCAAUGACACCCUUGCUAAGCAUCUCUUCCACUGUAUGUAUGCCCAGUUCUAUGUUUCUCCCUGAUCUGAAUUGCGAAGCACUGCUAGUUAUUGUACCUCUUGAACUGGAUAUUGCUGUUACACAUUGGGGAACCUCGCCUUCUAUUAGCAGCUACAUGAAGUUGCAAAGUCAUUCUUCGGUUUUGGAGUUGUGUGUUUGUCAUGCUUCCUUCUGCCUGUAGCUGAAUUUUGAUUUGGCAACCCCCUUUUUCUGAAUUUGGUUAACUAGUACAAGAUUGCCAAGUAUGAACUUUGUGCAUUAUGGUAGAAAAGGUUGAGUGGCUUGUCAAAAUUGGAAAUACCAACUUUUGUUGAUAGAGUAAUAGAUCUAUGUAAAUUGAUCCCCAUGACAAUUUGGAAAAGUGACAUGGUAUCUCUGUGCUUUUAAGAAGUAGAAAUAGCAAAAGAUUAAUUUCAAAUGCAAGCAAAAUCUGAUGCAUUUGUUUUUUUCUGUAUGGUAAACAGCAACUAAGAAAUAUUUGGCUAUUUCUUGUUAACUAGAUAAAGUUGAUUAAAAAAAUUUGAUAAAUGACAAAUGAGGAGGCUUCUUGGAAUGAGAGAAAUAACUGAAUUCUUCAACAUCUUGCAUCUUAUGUAAUCAAUCCUCAUAUGUUACGAAUCGUUACAGUUCCUUAUUAUAUUUCUUCAAUAUAAAAUAAUUAUGCAGGGAUAUGGAAUCUUGUUUGUUUAUCAUAGUUUUCUGGACAGGGGAAAAACAAACUAUUGAAUGGGCCAUGCGUUUGAGGGUUGCUUUCUAUAUUGCUGAAGCCUUGGAGUAUUGUAGCAGUGAGGGACGGCCACUAUAUCACGACCUAAAUGCCUACAGAGUCCUUUUUGACGAGGUCGCACAUCUCUUUCUUAUCAAAUCAUCCUUUUCAUUAGUAACUGGAAUACUGAUAUUGUAGGUUGACCUGUCUGAAGGGUAUUUUUGGUUGGGCAUCAGCUGUGAUUCUCUUAUAACGUAAAAUGUUGCUGACACGAGCAUGUUACUCUAUAUGAAUAAUCAUUCAACUGUAUGGCAUGUUCACUCCAUGGACCUUCUUAUUUUGUAAAUUUGUACACUGUAACCAAGUUGAUGUUGCAGAGACGAGCAUGUUCCAUCCUAUGAAAAAUUCUUGCAACUUAAUUGCAUUCUUCAUUCUAUGAUGCUUCUUAUUUUGCAAACUUAUGCACAGAAAAUAAGAUGUUGGUUUUUGUUAGAUUAUGUUGUGAACUUUGUUAUUGUUUUUCUAAUUGAUAAAGUCAAGAGCGAACCCUUUGUGGUAAGGUUGCUCCCUUUACUCAAUGGAGAUCAGGGUCGAGUCAAUAUGGAAUAAAACUUCUAUAACUAAAGAACUAAUCUUUCAGUGUGACAAAACUUUCAAGAUCUGUCAAAAAGCUUUCUUUUACUAGAUUCUCUAUCAAGGUUAAACUCUGGAUAUGAAAUGUUAAAUCUGUCAGCUUUCAGCAAAGAAUCAGAGUCAUGUUGGUACUGGUUAGCUAAUUGCUUCGGUAUGUUUUACAAAAAAUUGGUGCCAUAUUUAAUAUACACUGACAGAAAAAGCUACUGAGCUCCAGAAAACCAUUCAAAACUACCAACUCUAAUGUAUGGUGAUCUCUGCAUGUCUAGGAUAAAGCAAUAUUAAAUUCAUUUAUACAUGUGUAACCAGGUCGUCAAAGGUGCAAAUUCACAAUCAGAAAUUUGGGCAGAAUUGACCCAAAUUGUAUGAUCUAGUGACUCUGUUUCCGAGGAAAAGGAACAUUUUUUAUUUCUCUGAGGAAGAUAACACAACAUAGUUAUUACUUAAUGUUUUAAGAUGCAUGAAUGAGUGAGAUCAAAUCUCUUAUAGAAACAUUUAGAGAUAUGUAAUGCUACUGACAAAUUUUAUAGGUUGUCUCAUUAUGCUGCUGUCACAAAGAGCCCAUAGCUCAUAUUUUUUCUCCAAUGCAAACUCUUAUGCGGCAGAAAACAAUGAAUCUUUUGACAUGUAUGUGUUGAAUAAAAGGACAGAAAGGGAAAGGGCAAGCAAUUAUAGACUUUUCCAGUAAUCUUAUGAAAUAAUGUUUAUUUGCUAUUUAUUGCUUAAUAUGCACACAAGUACCAAAUUUACAUUGCCCAUGAGAUGUUUUUGUAUUUAAAUUACUAUUAUCAUAAGCCAAAAAAGUGUGUAAAGUAGGCAAAUUAUAAAAUUAGUUGACGAUUUGGUUCUUCCUAGCUUAUAAAAUUAGCACACUUCCUUGCUGCUUUAGUCAAAACCAUUAAUUUCUCUAAAUUGUAUCAAUUAGGGCACAUAUAGUAUCUUCUCUAGUUCUUGGUUGGUUAUCGACAAAUACAAGCAUGUCAUCUUUUGGACUUUGUAAAAAAAAAUUAUCUCAUUGCAAUUCCCUUGAAAAGCAGUUACAAAGUUUUUCAUCUAUAUGCAGGAUGGUGAUCCUCGGCUUUCUUGUUUUGGUCUUAUGAAAAACAGCCGGGAUGGGAAAAGUUAUAGCACAAACCUGGCAUACACACCUCCAGAAUAUUUAAGAAAUGGUAUUUUCUUAUUUUUUAUUGAAGAUAUCUACUACUGACUAAACUUGGGAGUUAGAUUUAGUGCUUAUCUGAAGUAUAGGUUUGUGUAUGUACUAGACACUUCCUAGGCAUAAUUUUGCUUGUGCUUCUUUUACUUUUGACUCUAGACCAAUCAAAACUUGUCUACAGCAAGCUCAGGGAGUAUCAUUUUUCAGCAUUGGGUAUAUGUGGAUGUGUUCCUGUGAUUUCUAUUGGAUCAGUACUGCUCAGGAAAAAGAUUAACUAUUCCUACAAGUAUCAACUAAAAUUUACUGAAAUUCAUUAGUGUUGCUUCUAUCAUACUGUGAAAAUCAUGGUCGAGUUUGAAGAAUCUCAUGUGGAGGAGCUAUAUAGACGCCAUAAAGCUUGGUAAUAAUAAUCAAUUUUUAACAAGUUCCAAACAUGGAUUUUGUACUGUGAGGAUUACCCUCAAAGCUUGGUAAUUUCUGUGAUACAAUUCUCAUGCAUUACAUCACCACUGUAAUGUUCAGAUGAUGUAAGAACUUUUAAUUUUCAGUGGUAUUUCCAUCAAAUUUAACCAUAAAACAUAUCAGAAGCCAUCCAACUUAAACAUAAAAAAUACCAUCUAAGAAGCAAUAAGAUUGUAAGGUUGGUACUAUGAUAAUGUUGCUCCUGUAUGACUAGGAAGACCAAGGUUCAAGACUUCGAGUUACGGAAACAACUGCUCUAUAUUUGGAACUGAGGCUGCAUAUAUUGACCCUUCUAGACCCUUCAAGUUUCUAAAAGAUCUUUGAUACUGUGCCCAAUCCCGAAGUUAGUUCUAUACAUAUGAUCAGCGAUCAGGAAAAUAAAUGCAAUAGGGGGUGGGUGGAGGCGCUUAAGAAGCAACAGGAUAUUGAUGUAUGAGCUGUAUCAUCAAAAGUUGACCAGUAAUUAAAAUUAUAACAUAUAGCAGCUAAUAGCCAUAUGCCAAAGGCCCUAAAUUUGCUUGAAAGAAUAAUUAUGAGACUUAAUGAGGUCCUUUGGUUUUCUCUUCGACAUUGUCACCUACAGAGAUAACUGACUUCUGUAAGCCCCAGUUCACACCUCACCAUAGUGUUUCCUAUUUUAUUAUAGAUGGCCUUUGCUCUGGCACCAUUAACAACUACCCAACAAUACAUACAAACCUGAUAGCAUUUAUUUAAGUGGGCUCGCAACUGGGUGCAAAAUGCCUAAACCAAUUUAAUAUUAGUAGGCCACUUGGUGCAUGCAUAGAAUUUAUUUAUUUAUUUAUGUUCUUUUUCUGAUUAUGGACCACUGAAGUAUCACAAUAUUUUUCACUCAAAUUUAUAAUUCAUCUCAAAACUUGAAAAAAUCCCUGAAUUCCUCAAGGUGAUAUGAGUUUGUAAAGGUUUUAUGAGAUUGAAAACAGGAAGUGUUUGUGGACACUUAUGAUCUCUUAAUACACACCACUUCACCAAAAUACUGUAUCUUUUUACAACAAUGCUUGAGUCUUAUGAUUCCUAAAAAUCAUUGGAUCUACAAGCACCUUCCUAUCAACCAUUAGUAUAUGUUAUGACAUAUGCUUUCCAUCUAAAUUCUCUCCUUAAAGUUUACAGUUGUGUUGCUUUUUGUCCUUGAUUCCUUGUCCCUGCCAAAUUAGUGGUUCAUUAACUUGCAUAUUAGGUCUUAUAUAUCUUGCACACAAUUAAAAGUAAUUCUGAAAUACAAUUCAUAAAAACCUAGAAUCUUACCAGAUGGAACAAGUUUUAGCCACUAUUUUGGGCUUCUUAAAACUAAAAAUGUCUAUGUCAUUUUCGAUUCUGGUUUUGCGCUAACACAACCAUGCAGGUUUUUAUGCUUUUUCUUUAGAGGAAAAGGAAAAUUAAUUAAUUAAUUUCGAAGGAGCACCUCGCAUCUAGUCCCAUUUACCGAUGAAUGAUGCUUUUUAGGAUAAUAUGCCAUGAGAGACACCGAAUGGGGUUUUGUGCAACCUUUCUCCUCUCAUGGUUCUGAUUUAUGACUCUUUGUAUAAAAUCCAGACACCUGAAAUUUCAAUUGGCUAUGCCACUACAACUUGAGUCUCACACCACCGUUUUUGGAAUGGCAAUGACAUUUGUGGCACCCAUCUUAUCAUGCGAUAAUAACAAAUAUUUGAAUUUAUCUCAUGCAUAUAGUAAUCAUGUCUAUAUCUGUAUGUUUUUAUAUACAUGUACAUUUGCACAUAAAGACAUAUCUUCUUUUAUAUCUAAGAACUUAAGUGACAAUUACUUCAACUAUAUUAUUGACCUGUCAACCUUAACUUACUUUCCUAAUAUCUGUUUCCAAACCAUUCUCUUCAGUUUGAGUUUGGUACUUCUGUUUCCCUAUAAUAACAGUUUGUUUGCCUUUGUUGCCAACUGAAGACGAAAUGCAAAAGUAUUAAGGUUAGUUAACUUGCCAUUAAUAUUUUACACAGGAUAUGUGUUUCUUCUUCCAGUCCAUCAUGGUCAUCAGGACCAUAUCUUUAACAUGUCAUCUUGAUAAAUUUUUCUAAUGGUUGAUUGGAUCAUUUGACAGCUUUGGAUUCUUCCUUAGCAGCAUCAGUUCAUUCUUGUCUUCUAGUACGUUUACUAAUGUUCUGUUAGUAGGACUGUGAUUUCUACUCUACUCCACCUUGAAUAUUGCAUGAUUACUAGGAAAUACACGAAGUUAAAAAUUUCAUUCCAAAGAACUGUCUCUUUUAUCCUAUGAUGUCCUCAAGUUGGUUGGUGAAAUUUGUUAGUUCUCUUUUGUUUCUGUUAAUCAGUGCUUAUGGAAUUACUCUUUUCAGGGUGGGGAUCUAAUGAAAAAUUUUUAGUGAACACUGUUUGCCUAGGGCUUUUAUAUCUUUUCUUGUUGUGAUAUCUCGAUUCAUAUAUAUUAAUUUGGAUUUGGUUCUGCUCAUGAACUUUUAGAUACUUGAUUCAUGUAUCAUGUAAUUAGCUUUACAUAUGCAAUUUUAUACUGUCAAAAUGAACGAGAAACAAGUCCACAAGCAAAAUAACUGAAAUCUUAUUGAUCUCUGCAGGGAGAGUAACUCCAGAGAGUGUCAUAUUUAGCUUUGGCACUGUCCUUUUGGAUCUUCUCAGUGGAAAGCGCAUUCCUCCAAGUCAUGUUAGUAUUUCUUUCCUUUUCACUUUUUGUCUUUUAAGUAUUGGCAGUAGGACCUUCAGAACUUGUCACAUUAGAAUGCAAAGAUUAGUAGAUAUAUCCUUGUUGCAUCAGAACUUGACAUUUGCAAGAGGGUAGUAAAAUUAUUAACAUUCUGUAAAUUCAGGUGAAAUAAAAUGGAUAGUGCUCCUAGAAUUGUGUGAUGUUAAUAUUUCUCUGACACAUUAAGAAGCUCAUACAAGAAAAAUCGUAGAGGCUCAUGCCAUAUAUGGUUUUAUAGCAAUGGAGAGGCUCUGAAUAUAGAUAGCCAGAAAAUUCAGGAUAGUGUAUUUGGUGGAUCCAUGGGAUAGAUGAGAUAUUUAGUGAUAGGGAAAUAGUUAUCUUAACAUACGCAAGGAAUAUUAAAGAUGAAUUUCCUAUUGUCAAAAGUUUAAGAAAGAUUUUGGAAAACCUAAUGCAGUGUUGCUAAGAAUUUGUUCUAAACAUCUAAGGUUAUUGUAGAUGAAGUCUAAUAUUUUGCAAUAUGCUAGUACAGUUGCAAUAGGAUAUAUCAUUGAUAUCAACGAUUCUGUGCCCUGGUCGUUGAUUGUCAUAGCAAUAAAUCUGGUGGUAAUUUUAUCUUUUACCAACUAAAUUGUACUGAUGAAAGUUCUUGAAAAUCAUUUAGGGUCUAAAUUUAAACCAAGUUCAGGUUUAUUUGUAAAAUAAAUAACCUAUUAGGUUAUCUGUCUUGACAUAUUAAAUAUUCGUUUAUAUAACUAGACUAUAAAAAAUUAUUUGAUGUGAUUCAAGUACAUGGUACAGAAAACUUUAUGAACUCAGUAAAAGGAAUAUUUAUGGAAAACUAUGUAAUUCAACAACACAAUGGUUUGAGAAAAUAUAAAUGAAACUGUUGGAUGUAAGGAGAAGUUGGUGAUAUUUAUAGAUCCCUGAUAUCAUAUGCAUUCGCUUGAACAUUUUUGUGCACAUACAAAUUUGUGAUUUCUUUUAAUUAGUUAAUGAGAUUGAAGUUCUUGCAGGCUCUUGACAUGAUAAGAGGUAAAAACAUCUUAGGCUUAAUGGAUUCACACUUGGAGGGAAAUUUCUCAAUGGAAGAGGCAACAACACUGGUUGACCUUGCUUCUCAGUGCCUACAAUACGAACCUAGGGAUCGACCCAACACAAAGAUGCUGGUGGCAACACUUGGUCCAUUGCAAACCAAAUCAGAGGUACAGUCUUCUUUCAGCUUCUAUUCAAAGCUACAUGAGUUAGACUAGACUGGAUAUGGGUAGUUUUGAUUGGGUGUUUUUACCCAUCUCUUUUGUAGCCUCUGGCUAGUUGAUUAAUAGAUGCUUUCUUCCUUUUCAAAAAGAAAAAUAAUUUGUGAAUUGGCAUAAUGUUUUGGCAACUCAAAAGGUAUAGAAACUUCAACCUAAUCAUUGGUAUGAUGAACCUGAAUGAAGACCAAGAGAUGGUGCAGUCCCCUCAAAAACUGAAGCUUACAUUUUUGUUUUGGUAUGGGCCUUUGGCAAUGAUUAGUUCAUUUGCCUCCUAGAGGCUUCCUAGAGGCCUGCUAUGACACUUGAUUGGAUGUUCACAGUUCACCAGAUCAAUGUGCAAAGGCUUUUAGUAAAUGGGUCAGGUCUCAAUGAGGUCAUGUUGACUUGACAGGUUUAGAUUAGGAUUGUCAUCUCUAACAUGGGAAUUAUCUCUUAAACACUAAAGGUUUAGUGUUUUGCUCGUCAAUUUAAUGGAGGAUUGCAAAGUGCUGUUUUGUUUUUUGUUGAUCAUGCCACAAAUGUGUUGAAACUUGAUUUCUGCAUUUGAAGUUUGUUCUGGCGUGGCAUAAUGCUUUUUGAUACACAGGAACCAUCUUAUGUUAUGUUGGGUAUUGAAAAGCAUGAAGAGGCCCCUCCAGCUCCUCAGCAACCUCUUUCACCAAUGGGGGAAGCCUGCUCCAGAAUGGACCUUACUGCCAUCCAUCAGAUUCUAGUAAUGGCACACUAUAGAGAUGAUGAAGUAACUAAUGAGGUAUCAUUGCAAUUUUGACAUAAGAGAUUGUCUUCGAUUGCUAUUUCAAAUAUUCUGUUUAUAGUGAGGCCUGUUUCAGUUUGUACAGUUGAAUAUGAUGAUCGAUAAUAUUCUCUUCCUGGUAUCAGUUAUCAUUUCAGGAGUGGACACAGCAGAUGAGGGAUAUGCUGGAAGCAAGGAAGCGAGGGGAUUUUGCCUUCCGUGAUAAAGAUUUUAAGACUGCAAUCGAGUGUUACUCUCAGGUACUUCUCUGCCAUAGAAUCAAAGAUGAAUUUUGACCUGAUGAAUUAAGCCAGUUUCAAUCAAAGAGACCAACUUAAUGGCUCAUUGUUUGGGAUGGAAUUCUAUUGCACAUAAAAGUAAAUUUCUCCAAGUUGUCAAUCACCCUAGCAUGAUGCACCUAGCUACCGUGACAAGUCCUAUAGCCCUGUCCAUGGGAUGUUAUUUCCUACUCCUCACUAUGUCCGAUACUAGUCAAACCUGAUGAGAUAGUUGACCUAUUAACUUUGUUGAGUUUGAAUUAUUGGUCAAAAUACCUAAACUCAAAUUAAUAAUAUUAUAGCCAUAUAAUCCCUGUAAGUCUAUUCAAAUUUUACACACUCUCAAUGUGAAACUAAGCCGGUUAUACAUGGUGAUGGUAAUGUUCCUAUUGCUUUUUCUUUAGGGCUUCUAUCUGCAUCUUCAGGUAAUCUGACUGAAUGAAUAUACUUGUCAAAUAUGUGGAUACUGAUACCUUUUUUCUUUUCCGUGAUAGUAGAGAAGUACUACUAAGUUCAGAUUAUUUUUACCCUUCCCAAGUAACGAACUUUUAUUAGCCGUAUGGUCUAGUGCAUAUAAGUCAUUAUACUAUGCAGAUUGCACUCCAUCACAAGUCCUACUAACUUCAGAAUUUGAGAAUGAAUUCCUCAUGUUGAUGUUAUCACUGCCUAUUUUUUGCUUGCAGUUCAUAGAUGUGGGAACAAUGUUCUCACCUACAGUCUAUGCAAGGCGAAGUCUGUGCCAUCUCAUGUGUGAUCAAGCCGAUGCUGCUCUACGGGAUGCGAUGCAGGCACAAUGUCUCUACCCCGAUUGGCCCACCGCUUUCUAUAUGCAAGCAGUUGCCCUGGCCAAGCUGAACAUGCAGGGGGACUCCCUCGACAUGUUGCAGGAGGCCACGGCUCUAGAAGAGAAGAGGCAGAAAAGUGGUAGAGGUCCAUAAUGCACCUCUGCAUGUUGUACUUGUAUCUUGUCCCCAUCACUUGGUUGCUGAUUUGAGUUUAGCCAUCAUGUGAAAUCUGUGAUUGUGGUGCCAUGGGAAGAUGUAUUAUAGGGAAAGUGCUUUGGUUCAAUCAGUGCAUUUGGUUUCCCAUUGCCUGGUGUAUUCUUUGGCCCAAUCAUUUCCUGGUUGAUUUUUUUUACCUUUAUGUUUCUUUGGUUGUUACAUUCCAAUUUGGACCAAGGAUCGAUAUCCGAUGAUAUAAAUCGUACCAGUGUCUAUUUUGUUGUCAUGUUCCAGUGAUAUCUGUUAAUAUAGAUCACCCAAAAUCUGGUAAUCAUACAGGUUUCAUGUUGAUAUUGAACCUUGGUUUUGUAAGUUAUAUAUGCCUUAAUACUUUAGGUGAUAUUAGAUGUGAUAUUGAUCAUUCAUCGCGAUCUAAGAAUACAACAAUGUUGUCUCUUUAGGAUAUUUCUUCAGAUCAGUAGAAGGCAUACUCGCAUGCUGACUUGUGGAGUCGGGAAGGGAGUCUAUUAGGUAAAUCUAAGAUCUGAAGACUGAGGAUAUCUGUUGACUUGCCUGCUUGUAUGUUACAGAUGAAAUAGGUUUAGUACUGUCACCUGCAAUUGUACAUAGAAUCUCUUCGUCCAAUCUACAAAAUUAAUGUCAAGUUAGCUUUUAAGGAAGAAUAUAAACAAAUAGAAAAUCUACCUCUCUAGUAAAUGAAUCAGAAAGUUCUAAUUAAUAGAAGGAUGUGACAUUUCAGGUCUUCACAAUGGAAAAACAUAGGCUGGAUGAUGAGAAUGAAGUUGAGCACACUUCUCACUCAACAAGGAGAGGACACUGCAGGCACAAUAUAGAUUCGAAACUCAUGAAUGUUGCCUCAUAUAACAAUAUUAGCAUGAAUGAUUCAUUGUUGGGGAGACAAAGACAGAAUAUGAUCCUCAUGCACCAGCAGCAUCAAUGCAUCAUCAGCAAAACAAAACAAAAAAAA
rnacentral:lncRNA from 1 species